GACGAACGCUGGCGGCGUGCCUAAUACAUGCAAGUCGAACGAAACUUUCUUACACCGAAUGCUUGCAUUCACCGUAAGAGGUUGAAUGGCGGACGGGUGAGUAACACGUGGGUAACCUGCCUAAAAGAAGGGGAUAACACUUGGAAACAGGUGCUAAUACCGUAUAUCUCUAAGGAUCGCAUGAUCCUUAGAUGAAAGAUGGUUCUGCUAUCGCUUUUAGAUGGACCCGCGGCGUAUUAACUAGUUGGUGGGGUAACGGCCUACCAAGGUGAUGAUACGUAGCCGAACUGAGAGGUUGAGCGGCCACAUUGGGACUGAGACACGGCCCAAACUCCUACGGGAGGCAGCAGUAGGGAAUCUUCCACAAUGGACGCAAGUCUGAUGGAGCAACGCCGCGUGAGUGAGGAAGGUCUUCGGAUCGUAAAACUCUGUUGUUAGAGGAGAACACGAGUGAGAGUAACUGUUCAUUCGAUGACGGUAUCUAACCAGCAAGUCUCGGCUAACUACGUGCCAGCCGCCGCAGUAA
rnacentral:rRNA from 1 species